GCUGGAUGCUGACGAGCGGCGGACGGGUGAGUAAUGCAUAGGAAUCGGCCCGAUAGUGGGGGAUAACCUGGGGAAACCCAGGCUAAUACCGCAUACGUCCUACGGGAGAAAGGGGGCGCCGGCUCCCGCUAUGGGAUGAGCCUAUGUCGGAUUAGCUGGUUGGUGAGGUAACGGCUCACCAAGGCCACGAUCCGUAGCUGGUCUGAGAGGAUGAUCAGCCACAUCGGGACUGAGACACGGCCCGAACUCCUACGGGAGGCAGCAGUGGGGAAUAUUGGACAAUGGGGGAAACCCUGAUCCAGCCAUGCCGCGUGUGUGAAGAAGGCCCUCGGGUUGUAAAGCACUUUCAGCGAGGAAGAACGCCUAGCGGUUAAUACCCGCUAGGAAAGACAUCACUCGCAGAAGAAGCACCGGCUAACUCCGUGCCAGCAGCCGCGGUAAUACGGAGGGUGCAAGCGUUAAUCGGAAUUACUGGGCGUAAAGCGCGCGUAGGUGGCUUGAUAAGCCGGUUGUGAAAGCCCCGGGCUCAACCUGGGAACGGCAUCCGGAACUGUCAAGCUAGAGUGCAGGAGAGGAAGGUAGAAUUCCCGGUGUAGCGGUGAAAUGCGUAGAGAUCGGGAGGAAUACCAGUGGCGAAAGCGGCCUUCUGGACUGACACUGACACUGAGGUGCGAAAGCGUGGGUAGCAGACAGGAUUAGAUACCCUGGUAGUCCACGCCGUACACGAUGUCGACCAGCCGUUGGGUGCCUAGCGCACUU
rnacentral:rRNA from 1 species